CUAGCAUAUCAAUAAGCGGAGGAAAAGAAACCAACAGGGAUUGCCCCAGUAACGGCGAGUGAAGCGGCAACAGCUCAAAUUUGAAAUCUGGCCCCCGGGCCCGAGUUGUAAUUUGCAGAGGAUGCUUUUGGCGAGGUGCCUUCCGAGUUCCCUGGAACGGGACGCCAUAGAGGGUGAGAGCCCCGUACGGUCGUGCCACCGAGCCUCUGUAAAGCUCCUUCGACGAGUCGAGUAGUUUGGGAAUGCUGCUCUAAAUGGGAGGUGUAUGUCUUCUAAAGCUAAAUACCGGCCAGAGACCGAUAGCGCACAAGUAGAGUGAUCGAAAGAUGAAAAGCACUUUGAAAAGAGGGUUAAACAGUACGUGAAAUUGUUGAAAGGGAAGCAUUCAUGACCAGACUUGGGCGUGGCGGAUCAACCGGCGUUCUCGCCGGUGCACUCCGCCUGUCCAGGCCAGCAUCAGUUCGCCCCGGGGGGGAAAGGCUUCGGGAACGUGACUCCUUCGGGAGUGUUAUAGCCCGUUGCGUAAUGCCCUGGGGUGGACUGAGGUCCGCGCUUCCGCAUGGAUGCUGGCGUAAUGGUCAUCAAUGACCCGUCUUGAAACACGGACCAAGGAGUCGUCUUCGUAUGCGAGUGUUCGGGUGUCAAACCCCUACGCGGAAUGAAAGUGAACGCAGGUGGGAGCUUCGGCGCACCACCGACCGAUCCUGAUGUUCUCGGAUGGAUUUGAGUAAGAGCAUACGGGGCCGGACCCGAAAGAAGGUGAACUAUGCCUGUGUAGGGUGAAGCCAGAGGAAACUCUGGUGGAGGCUCGCAGCGGUUCUGACGUGCAAAUCGAUCGUCAAACAUGGGCAUGGGGGGCGAAAGACUAAUCGAACCUUCUAGUAGCUGGUUUCCGCCGAAG
rnacentral:rRNA from 1 species